rnacentral:rRNA from 1 species
AAUAUUUGACAAUGGGGGCAACCCUGAUCCAGCCAUGCCGCGUGUGUGAAGAAGGUCUUCGGAUUGUAAAGCACUUUAAGUUGGGCGGAAGGGCAGUAGGUUAAUACCUUGAAGUUGUGACGUUACUAACAGAAAAAGCACCGGCUAACUCUGUGCCAGCAGCCGCGGUAAUACAGGGGGUGCAACCUUUAAUCGGAAUGACUGGGCGUAAAGCGGGCGUAGGUUGUUCAGUAAUAUGAGUGUGAAGUCCCCGGGCUUAACCUGGGCACUGCUUUCAUAACUGCUGAGCUAGAGUACGGUAGAGGGUAGUGGAAUUUCCUGUGUAGCGGUGAAAUGCGUAGAUAUAGGAAGGAACACCAGUGGCGAAGGCGACUACCUGGACUGAUACUGACACUGAGGUGCGAAAGCAUGGGGAGCAAA